rnacentral:rRNA from 1 species
AUUUUUUAGGAAUAAUUAAAAAUGGUUUCUGCUCAAUGUAGUAUAAAUGGCCGCAGUAUAUUGACUGUGCAAAGGUAGCAUAAUAAUUAGUCUUAUAAUUGAAGACUGGAAUGAAAGAAUAAACUGGAAAAGCCCUUUUCUAUUUUUUUAUUCAAAUUUACCUUCUAGUAAAAAGGCUAGAAUACCUCUUUUAGACAAGAAGACCCUGUAAAGCUUUACAUAGAAUAAUUUAAUAAAUUAAAAAUAUGUUUUACUGGGGCGGUAAAAAGAAAAACACUUUUAAAUCUAUAAAAAUGAUAUAAUUUUAAUACCCAAAAUUUUUGAAAAUUAAAUAAGCUACUUCAGGGAUAACAGCGUAAUAUAUUUUAAAAGCUCAAAUUGACAAAUAUGUUUGCGACCUCGAUGUUGGAUUAGUUUCCCUUUGCCAUGCAAGAGUAGUAAUAGGAGGUCUGUUCGACCUUUAAAAAACUCCA